rnacentral:misc_RNA from 1 species
AGAGGCUAUAUUUGUAAAUUCAUAUUAGUGGAGCUACCUUAAAACCCUCCGCUGGAAAUUUCUUUCUCAAAUUGACAUUUUUCGCUUAGACAUCAAUGUAUUUUCCCUACCCUUACACGCAAUACUAUCCCCAGCCCACAUCGACAAUAAUGGCCCAAUCGGGCGAAAUUCCGAUGAACCCUGCCCCACCGGUCACCCUCCCCCACCCUGUAGUCUCAGCUACGGCCAAGCGCCGCCGUGAUGAGUUUGACGUUGCAGCGGCCUCCGCAGCAGGUGAGAUGGAAGGAUCGGCCCCAAAACGGGCCAAAUCGCAAGACGUUAUAUUUAGGAUCGUAGUGCCGUCGAGGCAGAUCGGGAAGGUCAUUGGCAAGGAAGGGUGUCGUAUUCAGAAGAUUCGAGAAGACACCAAAGCCACUGUCAAAAUCGCAGAUGCAAUCGCUCGACACGAAGAGCGCGUAAUAAUCAUUAGUUCCAAAGAGAGCGAUAAUUCCUUUUCCGAUGCCGAGAAUGCCCUCAAGCAAAUUGCCACUUUAAUUCUAAAGGUGAUAUUGCAAGAAUUACCCUCAAUGGAUAUGAGUUUGAUUAGAAAUUUCACUUUGGCUUUUUUAUGUGGCGCACUUUUUUUUUCUGGUCUAAUGUAUAUAUAUACAGGAAGAUGAUAGUCCUGUGGAAGCGUCAAAAGUUGUUGGUGCAGGGCAUGUGGCUGCAAACACUAUAAGGAUGUUAAUAGCAGGUUCGCAGGCAGGUUCUUUGAUAGGGAUAUCUGGUCAAAACAUUGAGAAAUUAAGGAAUUCAUCCGGUGCCACCAUCACAGUACUGGCUCCAAAUCAGUUGCCUCUAUGUGCUUCUGCUCAUGAAUCUGAUCGAGUCCUGCAGAUAUCAGGAGAUGUACCUGUUGUGCUGAAGGCUCUAGAGGAGAUUGGUUGUCAACUCAGGGAAAACCCACCAAAACAAGUGAUUUCUAUCAGUCCAACAUACAACUAUGGCGCAGUUCGACCAACCCAACCAUAUGUCGACCCAACUUCAGGACAAAAAAUCUUGCAGCUGAUUAUGUAACCCUGGAGAUGAUGGUCUCGGAGACAUUAGUUGGUGGCUUGAUUGGCAGAUGUGGCUCCAACAUAUCAAGGAUCAGAAAUGAGUCUGGAGCAAUGAUCAAGGUAGGUGGUUCAUCAAUUCUUAAGCUGUAACCAACUUAUUGAUCUGUUGCCAUGCGGCACUCAAGAGUAACAAAGUCAUAUCAAAACAGCCUUGGCUAAUUGAGAAUACAGAUAUUUAUGGACAUUUAUCAGUUCAAAGUUAUUAAAUGCCUUGAUUUGGUUUUCAGAACAUAGCUAAGCUUCUAUUAUUAUUAUAGUUGGGCCAUCAUAAGUGAUACAUGAAUAAAAAUUACAUUUAGCUUGUUCUUUUAAACCUUUUUUCCCCUGCUGGUUUUCUGUGGUUCCUGUGCAGGUUUAUGGUGGAAAAGGUGAACAGAAACAUAGGCACAUACAAUUUGGUGGCACUGCUCAGCAGGUAGCAUUGGCAAAACAGAGGGUAGAUGAAUACAUUUAUUCUCAGUUAGUGCAACAAGCUGGUGCGCAAGCUCAACCGUCAUUGUAAGUAUUUCUCUUUGUGUGCUCUUCAUGGUCUGAGGGAGAGUUUGCUCAGUGUCUACUACUGGAAUUUUCCCUCCAUUUUCCAACAUUCUUGUGGAAGGAAACAUCUGGAAAAUAUAGAUCCAAUGCAACUGUUGUAACUAUACACGUCCCAAUCACUGACAGAUUUGUUGCUUAAUUGUCUUAUGGGUAUAUGAGACAGUUUCAUUUUGUUUCAAAUUAUUAACAAAAACUUUUAGACAAAUUUUGUUGUAUAUUGUUGAUUAUCACAAGGGCUGAGAUCAAGAAUUAAAAUGUGCCUGCCUAUGUAUCUAGCAUAUUUCUUAAAAUGAUCAAGUCACAGAAAUUGUACCACUGAGACAUGAAAUUCAGAGAGGUUGAUGAUGAUCAAAACAAUUACAAAACAUGCAUCAUAGGCCAAAAUUGCAUCAAGUAGUGAUUCCAUUUUUCCCCAUUGUGACAGCCAAGUGUUCAUAGCUGUAAACUCAGUACCCUUGCUAUGCUAGAAUUUAAGUCAUUUUCGGGGCCUUAAUUAAUACCCAUGUCAUUCUCAGCUUGCAGGGGUGAUGAAGCUGGAAUUUAGGAGCUUUUAUGGAAAUUCACUGCUACAGAGUUCUUGGCAACUUACGCUCUCUCAAGACUUCAUGAAUGUUGAUAUAAAGAUGAGCCAUUGUAGAUGGGGGACCUAUGCUUGUUGUGUUGCAAUUAUGUACAAUAUCUAUUAAUAGUAAAUGAUUAAUGAAAGAGUAUCCUCCUAUUGUAAUGAUUGAUUUUAGAUCCUUGAAAUUUUAUCAUUUUCAUCUGUAAACAUGAACAUCUUUAGGAAUCUGCGCGGUUUGGCAGAACAAGUACAACACAGAAGGGCUUUUCUUUUUUCCCUGGUUUUGGGUGAAACAACGUGAUAUUUGGCUUCUUUUUGAACAUUAGUUUUAUAGCAUUAGAUGAGAAACCAAGGAUCAGCC